ensembl:lncRNA
GUGGAUUGAACAGAAAAUUGGAAAUCAUAGUCAAAGGGCUUCCCUUGGUUCACCACUCACUUAUUUGUAACUUGACUUCUUUUUUUUUUCUGCUUAAAAAUUUCGAUUCUCGUGGUAAUACCAGAGUAGAAGGAGAGGGUGACUUUACGGAACUGACAGCCAUUGGGGAGGCAGAUGCGGGUGUGGAGGUGUGGGCUGAAGGUAGUGACUGUUUGAUUUUAAAAAGUGUGACUGUCAGUUGUAUCUGUUGCUUUUCUCAAUGAUUCAGGGAUACAAGUGGGUUUCUCUCUUUCAUUAAAAGAAAAUGUGACAUCUUUCUAAGAUUCUCUGUGGGAAAAUGACAGUGUCAAUAAAAUGCGGGUUUCUGGGCCAUUCGUCUUACUUUCAUUUUUUGAUUACAAAUUUCUCUUGACGCACACAAUUAUGUCUGCUAAUCUUCUUCUUCCUAGAGAGAGAGACUGUGCUCCUUCAGUGUUGCUGCCAUAAAGGGGUUUGGGGAAUCAAUUGUAAAAGUCCCAGAUUCUAAAUUAACUAAAUGUGUACAGAAAUGAACGUGUAAGUAAUGUUUCUACAAGUCUUUGCAACAAACUGUCACUUUGGUCUCCAGCAGAGGGAGCUGUAGGAAUAGUGCUUCCAGAUGUGGUCUCCCAUGUGGGGCCCAGCGAUGGGGGCCCCUGAUGCCAAGCGCUCUGGAGGCUCUGGUAAAGGGGGGACACGAAGGAGGAGUGACUGGGAAGCCUCCCAUGCCAAGGAGAUGGAAGGUGCCCUGGAAAUAGCUGCCCCAUGCCACUUAGGCCGUGACUGGAUUUAAUGUCAGUGGUGUGCCGCAGUGCAGAGGCUAGACAACUGAAAGGGGCUACCGAGGCUGGGAAAAAAGAUGCAAUUGUCGCUGUGAGUGACUUUGAAAGACUCUGGUGCCUUGUGGUGACCUUCUGAAAUUCGAACAGUAAUGCAAAAGUGUCUGCUUUAGAAUUUACGGUGUCUAAAAUUCAUAUUUUUAAAAGAGCUUGCCUACAGAUGGUUUCCAUACUUGAAAUUGUGCCCUGCGAGUUGCAUAGCUGGAAGUUCAAUGCUCAGUCCUACCUUGGCUCCCAUUAAACAUUUGGUGUUCUGUGGAUUGAGUUGAACGUGUUGAGGCUUUGCAAUUUCACUUUUGUUAAAGGCUCUGGCAUUUUUCCAUUUCUAUGCAAAUUUCUUUGAAGCAGAAUUGCUUGCAUAUUUCUUCUCUGCCGUCACAGAAAGCAGAGUUUCUUUCAAACUUCAUUGAGGCAUCAGUUGCUCUUUGGCGAUGUCCCUUAACCAUGAUUAUUAACUAAGUUUGUGGCUUGAGUUUACAAAUUUUACUUGUUGCUUUGAUGUUGCCAUGUAGUAAGUCAUUUUUAGUUUGGUUGUGAAAAAACCCUGGGCUGAAGUUAGCAUUUAAGUUAAAAGAAAAAAAGAAACUAGUCCCAGAUUUGAAAACUUGUAAUAAAAUUGAAACUCACUGGUUUUCUAUGUCUUUUUGAACUCUUGUAAUCGAGUUUUGAUCACAUUUUCUAUUAAAGUGGCUAACACCUGGCUAC